rfam:Apaloderma vittatum contig75344, whole genome shotgun sequence.
UAGCUCAGUGGGUUAGAGCGUGGUGCUGAUAACACCAACAUCACGGGUUCGAUCCCCGCU